GUUUGGUACCUAACCCACAUUAAAUGACUAUUUUGCCCACUUUCUAAUAAUUUUUUAUUUUUUAUUCUUAUUAUUAUUAAUUUUACAUUUUAAUACAAAAAUUGAAAUUUUCCCACUACCCCACCCUUACAUACCUUGCUCCUCCCACCCCAUUUCAUCUUCUCUGGUGAGACCAUCGCUCCCCUUUGCCAGAAUUUUUGUUUUCUUGAACCCAAUGUCGUUAAUGGCAUAACAAAAGCCCUCUUCCAUCUACACUAGCAGGGAACAUACAUUUCUCUUUUCCUUGCACAAAAUAAAACUCAAAAGAAACAUACGAGAGGUGUUUUCCCUUUUAUUUUAUCAGAAUUUAAAGAAACAAACCCUUAUUCAAUCACUUCCAUCUUUCUUUUCCCGGCACAAAAAUACUUCAAAAGAAACAGAUCUGGUGUUCAUUCCAAUCGGUUUGAUCAGAUUUCAAAGAAACAUGCCAUCAUCAGAUCUGGUGAUAAGAAACGAGCCAUUUAUUUUCUUCCCAACCGUAACAACAUUGCCACAACGAGCCCCAAUAGUAGCACACAAUUUCAUCCUCUUAACAUCAUCGCCGUCCAUCAUCAAAUCUGGUAUAACAGGUAAAAGGAGAUGACAAGGUGGAGGGUGGAACUUAAGGCAGGAAGAAAUUUCAUGGGCAUGGUUUGAAGAUGGAGGAGUCGAUGGUGUUUUAAAGGAGUGUGAUAGCCCAGUGACGACCGACGACAGAGUGGCGGUGUUAUGGGUUCUUCAGCGAGAAGACGAGACAAACGAGGAUGUGGCAGUGUAGGCAAGGAAGUGGAGGUUGUGAUUCUGUCUCGUGCGGUCUUUUGACUAAGUACAUUGAGUAGUGACGACCGACGAGAUGCGGCAACAGUAUGGAUUUUUCUGGCGAGAGUAUGAGACAAAGAGGAGGCCAUGUGGCUUUUUCAUGCAAGAAAGUGAAUGUCUUCUCUUUUGGUAUUAGGCAAAAAUGAGGAGUUAGGUGCUGUCUGUUUUUUGGAAAAAACUUCUUCAAACUUCUUAUUGCUGCGCGGCGUAGCACCCACACAACACUUUUAAUCUCGCAGUUGUUUGUUUUUUAGAAGUCUUCUGAGUCAAAAACCUCUGCGCGUGCUCUAUUUGGCGCAACACUUGUACGGCCUCUUCCAACCUCUUCUUCUUCAUUUUUUAUUGCUGAAAUUUUGAUUAUA